UGAGGAAUAUUGGUCAAUGGUCGCUAGACUGAACCAGCCAAGUAGCGUGCGGGAUGAAGGCCCUCCGGGUCGUAAACCGCUUUUAGACGGGGAUAAAAGGGCGUACGUGUACGCCGUAUUGCAUGUACCGUCAGAAAAAGGACCGGCUAAUUCCGUGCCAGCAGCCGCGGUAAUACGGAAGGUCCGGGCGUUAUCCGGAUUUAUUGGGUUUAAAGGGAGCGUAGGCGGACUUUCAAGUCAGUGGUAAAAUCGUGUGGCUCAACCAUACCUCGCCAUUGAAACUGGAAGUCUGGAGUGCACACAGGGGUGCCGGAAUUCAUGGUGUAGCGGUGAAAUGCUUAGAUAUCAUGAAGAACUCCGAUCGCGAAGGCAAGUGCCCGGGGUGCAACUGACGCUGAGGCUCGAAGGUGCGGGGUAUCGAACAGGAUUAGAUACC
rnacentral:rRNA from 1 species